CCUACGGGUGGCUGCAGUGGGGAAUUUUGCGCAAUGGGGGCAACCCUGACGCAGCAACGCCGCGUGAGUGAUGAAGGCUUUCGGGUCGUAAAGCUCUGUCGGGAGGGACGAAGUGUACGGUGGUUAAUACCCAUUGUACUUGACGGUACCUCCGAAGGAAGCACCGGCUAACUCCGUGCCAGCAGCCGCGGUAAUACGGAGGGUGCAAGCGUUGUUCGGAUUUAUUGGGCGUAAAGCGCGUGUAGGCGGUUUGGUAAGUCUGAUGUGAAAGCCCCGGGCUCAACCUGGGAAGUGCAUUGGAAACUGUCAGACUUGAAUACGGGAGAGGGUAGUGGAAUUCCUAGUGUAGGAGUGAAAUCCGUAGAUAUUAGGAGGAACACCGGUGGCGAAGGCGGCUACCUGGACCGAUAUUGACGCUGAGACGCGAAAGCGUGGGGAGCAAACAGGAUUAGAUACCCGGGUAGUC
rnacentral:rRNA from 1 species